rnacentral:lncRNA from 1 species
GAUCAUCUUAGCGGUGAUGUGUACAAGCCUGAAGGGUCUCCAAGGAUAGUAGAGCCACCAUCAACUUCUUCACCUUUCUACACUAGACAACCUUUGUUUGACGAACCACCUCCAAGAAGCAUGCCCACUAAUCCACUCCUCACAACACCUCGGGAUGCUCAAUCUCCUAGCGGCCUCCCUCCCCCACCCUCCCGGUAUAAUCAAAGACAACAAUAUUUUGAGCAACAAAAAGCUGGUACAGGAGGCAGUCAGCCCCAUCUGAGCAACGAUUAUAGUUCUUAUGACAACAUGGUGGGGAAUACCAAGAAUCUUUCACUCAGUCCUACCCCAACCAGAUCCGCGGAGCAUGAAGAGGCCCUUUUCAAAGAUCUGGUGGACUUUGCCAAGGCCAAGUCAUCUUCCUCAAAAUCCAACCGACCAUUCUGAGAACCGAGUAGUGAAGUCUGACCUUGUUUUCUUUUCCUUUUUUUUUUUUUUGUCAUCGUCGUCGUCCUUGGCAGGUGAUCGUGGGG